UUUUCCCCCAUUGCGUCAGAGUCCGAGUGUUCCGAACGAGCUCGAUGUUAAAUUUUUCGCAGCGCCCUCACCGGGAGUCAUGGUAAAUAAACAAAUAUAAUGGCGGAUUGAAGUUUUUACUAUAUUUUGGGCAAUGGGUGGUAAGCAUUGCUGCGUGGUCGGCUGCCACAACUCAAAUGAAAAGACGAAAAACAAUUUAACGCGCAUCAGUUAUUUUUCUUUCCCCCAGGACAAAGAAUGGCGAUCAAAAUUGAUAGCAGCUGUCAAUCGCAGUGAUAGAUUUUUUAAUCCGAACACUUCGCAUAUUUGUUCGGUGCAUUUUGAGGAAAAGAAUUUAUUGUUUCACGGUAAGUUAUUUCAAUAAAUUACAUAUACAUAUUUGAAUUGAACAAUAUAUUUAUGCUUUUUAAUGAAAACUAUAAAUUUUGAAGGCAAAGGUUUCAAACUAAUUCCUGGGAGUUUGCCCACAUUAUAUAUGCCAAAGAAAACUAUAGAAACACCCUGUCCUCCGCCCAGACAUCCACCGAUACCUGCUUCAACAGGGGGUGCCAUAUGUUUUGAGCAAUGUCUUCUGUCAGGACCCACUUGAAGAGCACUUUGGUCGCCACAGAGGAUUGGGUACUCGUCAUGACAACCCAACAAUUCACCAGUUCGGUUACCAAGAAAACCAACUUCGAAUUCAGAGGAGCUUAGCCUUCAACUUUGUGCCCAAAGGAAACACUGCAGGAAGGGCAGGAGAAAAAAGACCCAUUGUCAUAACAAACAGUCCCUUAAAACGCUUAAAACAUAACUAAAAGAAGCUUACUUAACAAAGUUGUAUAUAUAUCCAAUUCUGUAUUUGAAAAUCAAUGUUAAUUAUGUCUCCCCUCUUCUGGGGGAAGACAUUGUUUUUGUACUUUCUGUCCGUCUGUCUGAAAAUCUUGAAAAUGCUUCUCCUCCUGUAUGACUUGUUAGAUACACUUGAAAAUCUCUGCAAUGCUUCAUUGUCAUUUGUAGAUGUGCACAUUGUCGGAAAAUGAGGAUCCAAUCAUUUUCGAAAAAGUUAUGGUGGAUCUAAGAUGGGUGGAGGGUUGAAAAUUCUUGUAUAUGUUUACAUUAUUUUGACCCAAGUGUUCAGUAAUUUCUUCAAUUUACAGUGGAUCAAAGAAAACUGUUUUAUAGCUCAUUAUUUUUAUUUAAUGCACGACAUUGGUCACAUCAAUGUUGAAUGCAGUACAUUAAAGGGGGUGGGUAGGUGUAGUUUGGAGCACUUUUAAAUUGGGGAAGAAAAACAAAUCAUAAUAUCUGGUCAACAUAUACAUGUAGUGCUUUUGCUUGUUAGCAGUUUUUGUAUAUUAGUAGUUGUUACUGUUGAACUUUGAAACAUUUGCUGUUUUGUUUUGUUUUCUGUUUUAUAGUUACCAAGAAAACCAACUUCAGUUCAGAGGAGCUUAGCCUUCAACUUUGUGCCCAAAGAAAAUACUGCAAAAAGGACGGGAGAAAAAAAGACUCAUUGUUAUAACAAACAGUCCAUGAAAACUUAGCUGUAAUAAACACACUGACAAAAUUGCAUGAUUAUUUUUUAAUUUGAAAAUCAGUCAAUACAUUUGCGUAGAGCUUUUUGCUUGCUAGCAGAUUUUGUUCUUAAGUAGUAAAUUUCCAUGAGUUGUCUGCACCUAGCAUGACAUCUUACUCUGUGAAAUAUUGAUAGCAUUGUGAAAAAUAAUUUCUCUUGCAUUACCACAUCUGAUUCUGAAUGAUAAGUGCAAUCAUAGAACAUGGACAUAGCGUCAUUUUCUCGACAAAUUGUAUUGGUGAACUGUUGAAGUGUUGGAACUGACACUGCUGUGCAUGAAUUUCUAAACACAAGUUCUAAAACUACAAAGAAAUUUAUCGCUUCAGAAGAGGGCUGGGUUAGACCACCUCUGGAUUUUAUGGAAAUUAAUUUAGUGUUUCCGUCUGUGUCAAUGAGUUUGCUCAUAUAUUUUUUGACAUCAAAAGAAGAGGACAAUUUUUGUUUGCAUCGAAACAAUACGAAGCCUGCAAUGUAUGCAAUAAUAUCUCUCUCCCCAAUUCUCAGGACAUUUUUUGUGUCUAAUUUUACAGAAGAAUUCGAAGAUGGUGUAUUCUCUCUAAUAAUUUCUUCAGCUGUUCUAAUCGAUAUGAAAGCUGACAAUUGUUGCUUGUUUACAACUUUUUGAAGUUUCUGCACAACAUCUGCCUGUAUGAGAUGGAAAUUAUGCCAGGCCUUUUCCUUGGCUGCACUAGAGAAUACUUCUGCCUUCAUGAUGGUGUCUAACUGCUGAAGAGCUGGAACCAAGUCAGCAGCUGUAAAGGACAGUUGUUAUGUUAAUUUCAUACAAUAACAACAAAGUUUUAACAUAUGAGUUAUUAACUGUUUGACAUUUCCAUGAAUUAUUUGUAAAAUAUUUACAUCCAUAUUGUAUAUAAAUCAUAUAAGUAUAAAAA